AUUGAACGCUGGCGGCAGGCCUAACACAUGCAAGUCGAACGAGUGGCGGACGGGUGAGUAAUGUCUGGGAAACUGCCUGAUGGAGGGGGAUAACUACUGGAAACGGUAGCUAAUACCGCAUACCAUCAGAUGUGCCCAGAUGGGCUUAGCUAGUUGGGGGGGUAACGGCUCACAAAGGCGACGCUCCCUAGCUGGUCUGAGCGGAUGACCAGCAACAAUGGACCGGAGCCACGGUCCAGACUCCUACGGGAGGCAGCAGUGGGGAAUAUGGCACAAUGGGCGCAAUCCUGAUGCAGACAUGCCGCGUGUAUGAAGAAGGCCUUCGGGUUGUAAAGUACUUUCAGCGGGGAGGCGUUACCCGCAGAAGAAGCACCGGCUAACUCCGGGCCAGCAGCCGCGGUAAUUC
rnacentral:rRNA from 1 species